rnacentral:rRNA from 1 species
UACGUAGGGGGCAAGCGUUAUCCGGAUUUACUGGGUGUAAAGGGGGCGCAGAUGGCGAUGCAAGCCAGGAGUGAAAGCCCGGGGCCCAACCCCGGGACUGCUCUUGGAACUGCGUGGCUGGAGUGCAGGAGGGGCAGGCGGAAUUCCUGGUGUAGCGGUGAAAUGCGUAGAUAUCAGGAGGAACACCGGUGGCGAAGGCGGCCUGCUGGACUGCAACUGACGUUGAGGCCCGAAAGCGUGGGGAGCAAACAGG